GAUGAACGCUGGCGGCGUGCCUAAUACAUGCAAGUCGAGCGAACGGACGAGAAGCUUGCUUUUCUGAUGUUAGCGGCGGACGGGUGAGUAACACGUGGAUAACCUACCUAUAAGACUGGGAUAACUUCGGGAAACCGGAGCUAAUACCGGAUAAUAUUUUGAACCGCAUGGUUCAAAAGUGAAAGACGGUCUUGCUGUCACUUAUAGAUGGAUCCGCGCUGCAUUAGCUAGUUGGUAAGGUAGCGGCUUACCAAGGCAACGAUGCAUAGCCGACCUGAGAGGGUGAUCGGCCACACUGGAACUGAGACACGGUCCAGACGCCUAAGGGAGGCAGCAGUAGGGAAUCUUCCGCAAUGGGCGAAAGCCUGACGGAGCAACGCCGCGUGAGUGAUGAAGGUCUUCGGAUCGUAAAACUCUGUUAUUAGGGAAGAACAUAUGUGUAAGUAACUGUGCACAUCUUGACGGUACCUAAUCAGAAAGCCACGGCUAACUACGUG
rnacentral:rRNA from 1 species